GAAAUGCGAUACGUAAUGUGAAUUGCAGAAUUCAGUGAAUCAUCGAAUCUUUGAACGCAUAUUGCGCUCUUUGGUAUUCCGAAGAGCAUGCUUGUUUGAGUAUCAGUAAACACCUCAAAGCUUUUGGAUUUUUUUUUUGAAAGCUUUGGACUUGAGCAAUCCCAACACCAAUCUUUUCCAGAUCGGCGGCGGGAUCGCCGGCGACUUCGCGAUCUGCACGGUCCCCUCGAUCAUUCAGGACAUGCAGCGCGACGUACCGUUCUGGGGCUACUUCGCCCAGAUCACCGACGCCGCGACCUCGUACGGCGGCUACUCGGGGGCGCCGCCCAACGAGAAGAUCACCUGGGGCAAGCUGGCGGUGGACACGCCCAAGUUCUUCAUCAACUCCGACGCGAGCAUC
rnacentral:misc_RNA from 1 species